UUCUCUUCGGAAUGAGACCGACAUGUUGGCGCAUGCACAAUUGGAUACAUUUUCUGAUUUGUGACAACUAUGCAUGUGCCAAAACUCAUGAAAAUUGGUGCAGUGCCAGUCUCAUUAUGAAGAUUACCAAAUCAGCUGAAGAUGACGCCCGUGAACUCCGAUGCUGAAUCUGCAAUGAGGGUGCAGGAGAUCAAAGAGAAAGUUGAGACAUUUCAGUUACAAUCCGGGACUGCGAGUUGAGCUGUCAAAAUCUAGACUGUCCAGUGAAAAAGGGGACAGUUGGAGGUAUGAAGAAGUGGUAAUGAACCCCAGCUAAAAUACGCAUGGUGCAACCUCAUACUACCCACCCUGCUAAAGGACCUGUGAAGAACCAGCUAGAAACUGGUAGCGAAAGAAAGUCCUGGAAUUUACGCCAAUGACUUUGAAAGAACACAUGCAAAAAAAAAACCAAGCACACUGCUAAAUGGAUUGAAUGGGACUCAUAGGCAAUAAAUUAAAAUGCCAGCAAACAUCUGCAACUUUUCACAUAGCAUGGAACUUAUUUCUCCUCAUCCUGACAAACAAGUCAAAUUUGUCUGAGUAUCUGAUAUCCUGUGGGGUUAAACAUGUGAAAGCUUGUGGCAAAACAGACGUUUCCACAAUUCUAUUCAGUCUGUGGGUCUGCUCUGCUUGUGGCUGCUGGAAGCACAGUGUCCUCCAUAAAUAAAUAUGUUAUUGUUUGUUUGCUCUCAGGA